rnacentral:rRNA from 1 species
UACGUAGGGUGCAGGCGUUAAUCGGAAUUACUGGGCGUAAAGCGUGCGCAGGCGGUUAUAUAAGACAGUUGUGAAAUCCCCGGGCUCAACCUGGGAACUGCAUCUGUGACUGUAUAGCUAGAGUACGGUAGAGGGGGAUGGAAUUCCGCGUGUAGCAGUGAAAUGCGUAGAUAUGCGGAGGAACACCGAUGGCGAAGGCAAUCCCCUGGACCUGAUACUGACGCUCAUGCACGAAAGCGUGGGGAGC